AUUUGGGAACUGACAUUUUUGGAGAAACCAAUCAUCACAACAAGCACAUACAUGGUGCAUAUGUUAUGGCCAAACGUUAUUGUAGGAAACCUAUCUUUUGUUUUGUGGAACAUGCAAAACUUGCCUAACUAGUUAGCAACGUAGAUUGCUAGCUAGCUAACAGUAGAUAGUUAUCAUCUAGGUAGCCUAUGUGUUCAACAUCACUGCUACCUCAGCUAGCGAGUAAACUAACCUAUUUUCACUCCUGCAGGUGGAGAAGUGAUGACACAGGUAUUACAACUAUGUGUGUUUGUGUGUUGUCAUGGUGGUCUCAAAGGGGGACCAAGUAAUUCGAUAACCCCAUAUAACGUUGACUGGGGGGAGGGUACAGUAGGAGGCUGACACACCGACAGCCUUCUGUCAAAUAGAAGAUGGAGCGAGAGGAACGCUUAGAAUUUCUUUAUCUCGUCAGGAACAGACAGGGUGGUGUGUAUAGCCUAAAGUGUAUAACACACUGAGGAAAUGGAUAGGGAGAACACAAAUGCUGUGUUUCAUUCAAGAGACGAGACAUACGUGUUUCUGUGGACCUACAGCCUGUUUCAGCAGGAGCAGACAGAGUGGGAUGCUGUGAACAGUCUCCUCCAGCACCAUGGGUUCAAGCCGGUUCACUUUGCCGAUCCCGUCGCGAAUAAGAACCUUGCAGACUUGGAGAGGAGACAUACCUUGAUUCAGGAGCUCAUUGAGUCCAACAACCAACUUAAGGUGUUGGAUGUAAUUGACAUCUAUGAGGCCCAAAUGGAACAGCUCUGCGAUGAUGUCGAGUAAAUAUUGUCCCUCAAAGCAGAUUCUGGGGAUCACAAACAUCUGACCAAUCGCAGAGCACCACCGGGGUCUCCCCCAAUCACAAAGCUCUCCUGAAGUCCUAUCAGGAACAGUUAAUGGACACCAAAGCUCAGAGGGAGGAGCUUAGGAAUGAAAUUCAGCAGUUGGAGCAAGACUUAGAAUCUAGACCCACAGUGAAAGAGCUGAAGUCCUACAAAGAACAACUGAGAUGCAUGGACAGACUUAUUCAGCAGAGUAACAUGAAGUGGGGAAAAAUGACUGUCAUUCUUCUUGGAUAUGACAAGCACCACAGCUUAACCUCCUAGUUAACCCCUUCCUUACCUUAACCUAGAAUGCUGCCUGUCCUAUUGGUAGUCAUAUCUCCUUUACCUCCACCCCAGGUCUGCUCAGGAGUUUAAAGAAGAGGGGAGGGCUGCUCUGAGUAACCAGGAGGUGGCGAAGGCAAGGGCCUUGGCUGCCAGACACGAGAAGGUACUCCGUUUAUCUCCCCUCGUCUAAAGCGGGAGCGAGUAUCAACUCACUUUACAUUUUUGAUUCAGACU